rnacentral:lncRNA from 10 species
ACAGAGAUGUUCAGAGUGCAACUUUUCAGGAUAGUGGUGGAGACUAAGUGAGUUUACACAUAUAAAGUACUUAGAACAGUGCCUGGCACAAAAUAAGGACUACGUAAGUGUUAGUUAUUAGUAUAAGCUUGCAGAGCUUACAUUCCAGUAGGUGAGGAAAUAACCUAAACAAACAAACAAAAAAUAUUAGGCAGGUGAUAAGUGCCAUGAAGAAAAUAAAAGAGAAAAGUGGGAGAGAGCGCUGCUGAGGAUCUGUCUCAUACCAGGGUGGAAAGAGAAUAGCUUGUGAGAGUGUAUGAGUGGAAUGAAGUGGUCAGAUGAGAGAGCGCGGCGGAGAUGGAGAGAAGCGGAGAACUUGAUGCAUAUUUUGGAGGCAAAAUCAACAAGAUUGGCUGAUGGAUUAAAAGCAGAAGGAUUUUGCCAUAGAGAAAUCUCUUGCUUUUCAAUCUCUCCAAUUUGGGAACCAACCAACCAACCAGUCUACCAACCAGCCAACGAACCAACUACUCAACCGGUCAACUGACUCCUCCCGGAGACAAAGAUUGGAGAAUUGCUUGAAUCUGGUACAAAGACUAAAGCAAAGUAAUACUGUAUCAUGCACAGACCUCAACUCUGUGAAGACAGUCCCUCAUGCUGUAGGAAGUCAGCCUUGAAUAUCUAGGCUUAGGGGAGGCUGAGAAAGGUCACCACUGGAGAAGUAAGCGGUUGGGGCAGGUCAGGAUCCAGGGCUCUCAAUUCUUAUGGAGAGAUUUUGCUUUUUUAAAACAUCAGACCUGCUGGUGUUUGCACUCAGUUUUCUUUCUUAUAAAAAUCAACUCUAUUGAGAUGUACUGCCCAAUCAAGAUAUAGAACAUUUGCAUCACCCUAGAAAACUUCCUUGUGCCCCAAAUCACAUCACUGAUGUGAUUUCUAUCACUAUAGCUGAGUUUUGUCUAUCCUAGAACUUUGUGUAAAUUGUCCUUUUCUUUUGACUUUAUGUAGUUUUUUUCUCAUGUGGAAGAAAAAGAAUUAUUGUAGGUUUAUGGUUUUUAAAAAAUAUUCAAAUCGGAUUCAUCUGACAUUUAUUUUGGUGUAGUGUGUGAAAGGCACAGAUCUAAUCUCAUUUAUUUUCUCCCAGAGAGCUACCUGGUUGUUUCAACAUCAUUUAUUGACAAAUGUAUCUUUUUUCUCACUGGUUUAAAUGCCACCUUUAUCAUACAUUAAAUUCCCAAGUGUGCUCAGGUAUAUUUCUGGACCGUCCGUUCUUUUCCUUUGAUGUGUUUAUUC